rnacentral:rRNA from 1 species
CCUACGGGAGGCAGCAGUGAGGAAUAUUGGUCAAUGGGCGGAAGCCUGAACCAGCCAAGUAGCGUGCAGGAUGACGGCCCUACGGGUUGUAAACUGCUUUUAUACGGGAAUAACGCGCCUUACGUGUAGGGCUUUGCAUGUACCGUAUGAAUAAGGACCGGCUAAUUCCGUGCCAGCCGCCGCGGUAAUACGGAAGGUCCGGUCGUUAUCCGGAUUUAUUGGGUUGAAAGGGUGCGUAGGGGGGAUGCCAAGUCAGCGGUAAAAAUGCGGUGCUAAACGGCGACGAGCCGUUGACACUGGCGUUCUUGAGUGGGCGAGAGGUAUGCGGAAUGCGUGGUGUAGCGGUGAAAUGCAUAGAUAUCACGCAGAACUCCGAUUGCGAAGGCAGCAUACCGGCGCCCUACUGACGCUGAGGCACGAAAGCGUGGGUAUCGAACAGGAUUAGAUACCCGGGUAGUC